rnacentral:rRNA from 1 species
GAUGAACGCUGGCGGCGUGCCUAAUACAUGCAAGUCGAGCGAACGGACGAGAAGCUUGCUUCUCUGAUGUUAGCGGCGGACGGGUGAGUAACACGUGGAUAACCUACCUAUAAGACUGGGAUAACUUCGGGAAACCGGAGCUAAUACCGGAUAAUAUUUUGAACCGCAUGGUUCAAAAGUAAAAGACGGUCUUGCUGUCACUUAUAGAUGGAUCCGCGCUGCAUUAGCUAGUUGGUAAGGUAACGGCUUACAAGGCAACGAUGCAUAGCCGACCUGAGAGGGUGAUCGGCCACACUGGAACUGAGACACGGUCCAGACUACUACGGGAGGCAGCAGUAGGGAAUCUUCCGCAAUGGGCGAAAGCCUGACGGAGCAACGCCGCGUGAGUGAUGAAGGUCUUCGGAUCGUAAAACUCUGUUAUUAGGGAAGAACAUAUGUGUAAGUAACUGUGCACAUCUUGACGGUACCUAAUCAGAAAGCCACGGCUAACUACGUG